GAUGAACGCUGGCGGCGUGCCUAAUACAUGCAAGUCGAGCGAAUGGAUUAAGAGCUUGCUCUUAUGAAGUUAGCGGCGGACGGGUGAGUAACACGUGGGUAACCUGCCCAUAAGACUGGGAUAACUCCGGGAAACCGGGGCUAAUACCGGAUAACAUUUUGAACCGCAUGGUUCGAAAUUGAAAGGCGGCUUCGGCUGUCACUUAUGGAUGGACCCGCGUCGCAUUAGCUAGUUGGUGAGGUAACGGCUCACCAAGGCAACGAUGCGUAGCCGACCAGAGAGGGUGAUCGGCCAGACUGGGACUGGGACACGGCCCAGACUCCUACGGGAGGCGGCAGUAGGGAAUCUUCCGAAAUGGACGAAAGUCUGACGGAGCAACGCCGCGUGAGUGAUGAAGGCUUUCGGGUCGUAAAACUCUGUUGUUAGGGAAGAACAAGUGCUAGUUGAAUAAGCUGGCACCUUGACGGUACCUAACCAGAAAGCCACGGCUAACUACGUGCCAGCCGCCGCGUAA
rnacentral:rRNA from 1 species